UGACAAGCUAAUUAAAGAAGGAGACGUUGU
rnacentral:piRNA from 1 species